CCCUUAGAUGUCCUGGGCCGCACGCGCGUUACACUGAUGCAUUCAACGAGCUUAUAACCUUGGCCGAGAGGCCUGGGCAAUCUUGUUAACGUGCAUCGUGAUAGGGAUAGAUUAUUGAAAUUAUUAAUCUUGAACGAGGAAUUCCUAGUAAACGCAGAUCAUCAAUCUGCAUUGAUUACGUCCCUGCCCUUUGUACACACCACCCGUCGCACCUACCGAUUGGAUGGUCCGGUGAAGCCUCGGGAUUGUGGUUCUUGCCGCUUUAUUGUGGCGUGACCGCGAGAACUUGUCUAAACCUUAUCACCUAGAGGAAGGUGAAGUCGUAACA
rnacentral:rRNA from 1 species